UGGGGAAUAUUGCACAAUGGGCGCAAGCCUGAUGCAGCGACGCCGCGUGAAGGAUGAAGGUCUUCGGAUCGUAAACUUCUAUCAGCAGGGAAGAAACCAUGACGGUACCUGACUAAGAAGCCCCGGCUAACUACGUGCCAGCAGCCGCGGUAAUACGUAGGGGGCAAGCGUUAUCCGGAAUUACUGGGUGUAAAGGGUGCGUAGGCGGCGAUUUAAGUCAGAUGUGAAAACUCAGGGCUCAACCUUGAGACUGCAUCUGAAACUGAGUUGCUAGAGUGCAGGAGAGGAAAGCGGAAUUCCGAGUGUAGCGGUGAAAUGCGUAGAGAUUCGGAGGAACACCAGUAGCGAAGGCGGCUUUCUGGACUGUAACUGACGCUGAGGCACGAAAGCGUGGGGAGCGAACA
rnacentral:rRNA from 1 species